rnacentral:rRNA from 1 species
AUACAGAGGGUGCGAGCGUUAAUGGGAAUUACUGGGCGUAAAGCGCGCGUAGGCGGCUUGGUCAGUCGGAUGAGAAAGCCCCGGGCUCAACCUGGGAAUGGCAUUCGAUACUGCCAGGCUAGAGUAUGGGAGAGGGAAGUGGAAUUUCCGGUGUAGCGGUGAAAUGCGUAGAUAUCGGAAGGAACACCAGUGGCGAAGGCGACUUCCUGGCCCAAUACUGACGCUGAGGUGCGAAAGCGUGGGGAGCGAACAGGAUUAGAUACCCUAGUAGUCC